GUAGGGAAUAUUGGGCAAUGGAUGAAAGUCUGACCCAGCCAUGCCGCGUGCCGGAUGAAGGCGCUCAGCGUUGUAAACGGCUUUUAUUCGGAAGAAGAGCAGGGAUGCGUCCCUGUGUGACGGUACCGAAUGAAUAAGCACCGGCUAACUCCGUGCCAGCAGCCGCGGUAAUACGGAGGGUGCGAGCGUUGUCCGGAUUUAUUGGGUUUAAAGGGUGCGUAGGUGGCCAAAUAAGUCAGUGGUGAAAUACGGUUGCUCAACAAUCGAGGUGCCAUUGAUACUGCUUGGCUUGAAAUAAUUGGAGGCUGCCGGAAUGGAUGGUGUAGCGAUGAAAUGCAUAGAUAUCAUCCAGAACACCGAUUGCGAAGGCAGGUGGCUACGAUUUAUUUGACACUGAGGCACGAAAGCAUGGGGAGCAAACAGGAUUAGAAACCCUAGUAGUCC
rnacentral:rRNA from 1 species